CAGUCGCCGCGGUAAUACGAACCGUGCGAACGUUAUUCGGAAUUACUGGGCUUAAAGCGCGUGUAGGCGGGCCGCCACGUCGGUUGCUGAAAUCCCCCGGCUCAACCGGGGAAGUGGCAUCGAUACGAGCGGCCUUGAGGGGGGUAGGGGGAUCUGGAACUUCCGGUCGAGCGGUGAAAUGCGUUGAGAUCGGAAGGAACGCCCGUGGCGAAAGCGAGGUCCUGGACCCUUUCUGACGCUGAGACGCGAAAGCCAGGGGAGCGAACGGGAUUAGAUACCCGCGUAGUCCCUGUCUCUUAUA
rnacentral:rRNA from 1 species